GCUCCUAUAGUCUAGUGGUUAGGACGUCGGAUUUUGAUUCCGAAAACAUUGGUUCAAUUCCAGUUAGAAGCU